rnacentral:rRNA from 1 species
UAAGGAAUAUUGGACAAUGGACGCAAGUCUGAUCCAGCCAUGCCGCGUGAAGGAUGAAUGCCCUCUGGGUUGUAAACUUCUUUUAUAGGGGAAGAAAGAUACUUUUUUUAAGGUAGUUGACGGUACCCUAUGAAUAAGCACCGGCUAACUCCGUGCCAGCAGCCGCGGUAAUACGGAGGGUGCAAGCGUUAUCCGGAUUUACUGGGUUUAAAGGGUGCGUAGGCGGGCAUGUAAGUCAGUGGUGAAAUACCGGAGCUUAACUUCGGAACUGCCAUUGAUACUAUAUGUCUUGAAUUAUCUUGAGGUAAGCGGAAUACGCCAUGUAGCGGUGAAAUGCUUAGAUAUGACAUAGAACACCAAUUGCGAAGGCAGCUUACUACAUAUAAAUUGACGCUGAGGCACGAAAGCGUGGGGAUCAAACA